GUUUUGAUUGCCUGUAAUGUGAGAAAGAGAAAAACAAGGAGGAAGAAAUUUUCCUCUCUGGGUUUUCUUUGUUUAAGUAUAAUGUUCAGACUGUCUUCAUGAGAAGUUGUUUUGAGUUGUUGCCAUUUCUCUGCUGUCUCUUUCCUAGAGAACCUUUGUUGCUGCUUAGAAUAAUAUAGGUAGAACCUUUGCCUUUCAGUUCAUUUCAAGACAGGAAAGAGAAGUGUCAAUGGUUAUAUAUUGUUUUUAAGAUCUUUAUAAUUGAAUGAUGUUUUCUGUAGGAUUAGAA
rnacentral:lncRNA from 1 species